CGGGUUGCUUGGGAGUGCAGCCUAAAGCGGGUGGUAAACUCCACCUAAAGCUAAAUAUGACCGAGAGACCGAUAGCGAACAAGUACCGUGAGGGAAAGUUGAAAAGCACUUUGAAGAGAGAGUUCAAGAGUACGUGAAACCGUUCAAAGGUAAACGGGUGGGAUCUCGAAGUCYUAAGCCGGUGGUGGAUUCAGCCGGGGCGCAGAGAGGCUUCUUCGUUAGAGCUGGAGCACGUCAUCGUGGUCGGCUUUAAUGAAUGGGGUSGCGUCCCGUCGCACUUCCGCAACCCGGCCGAGAGGGCGCCGCGACCGGUUGGGACGCCGUCGUAAGGGCGKUCUGAAAGGUGGCCGAAUUUCCUUUUAGGGAGCUCGGUGUUACAGGCGACCGCGCCCGGAGGGGCGGCCCGACCGGGGUCGAGGAUUUCCUCUAAAUUGUUCCCUUCUUUGAGAGAAGCGGCGACCUAUYUUAGCSGAGGUCYUACGUCGAACCGCCCGCAAGGGCGGCSGAUUUAGUCCCUUUGUUAACGGUGGGUAUCGCCGCGGGRAGCUGGAGGUCGCGGCGAGUAGKUCGGUUCCCCACCCGACCCKUCUUGAAACACGGACCAAGGAGUYUAGAGUACGUGCGAGUUCCCGGGACUUGAMCAGGCCCGAGGGCGCAAUGAAAGUGAAGGGUAGCUUUAGCUUCCCGAGUUGGGWUCCGCGAUAUUUAUAUCGCGGCGCACCAACGGCCCGUCCGACGUCGUUCUCGGCGGGGCGGAGCAAGAGCGCGUGCUCUGGGACCCGAAAGAUGGUGAACUAUGCCUGGGCAGGACGAAGCCAGAGGAAACUCUGGUGGAGGUCCGCAGCGAUUCUGACGUGCAAAUCGAUCGUCAGAC
rnacentral:rRNA from 1 species